GACGAACGCUGGCGGCGUGCUUAACACAUGCAAGUCGAACGGAAAGGCCCUGCUUGCAGGGUACUCGAGUGGCGAACGGGUGAGUAACACGUGGGUGAUCUGCCCUGCACUUCGGGAUAAGCCUGGGAAACUGGGUCUAAUACCGGAUAGGAGCCAUUUUUAGUGUGAUGGUUGGAAAGUUUUUUCGGUGUAGGAUGAGCUCGCGGCCUAUCAGCUUGUUGGUGGGGUAAUGGCCUACCAAGGCGGCGACGGGUAGCCGGCCUGAGAGGGUGGACGGCCAAAUUGGGAACGGGAAAAGGCCCAGACCCCGAAGGGAGGGAUCAGGGGGGAAUAUUGCACAAUGGGCGCAAGCCUGAUGCAGCGACGCCGCGUGGGGGAUGACGGCCUUCGGGUUGUAAACUCCUUUCGCUAGGGACGAAGCUUUUUGUGACGGUACCUAGAGAAGAAGCACCGGCUAACUACGUG
rnacentral:rRNA from 1 species